CGGCUCGGGAAACUCGCCUGAUGGAGGGGGAUAACUACUGGAAACGGUAGCUAAUACCGCAUAACGUCGCAAGACCAAAGAGGGGGACCUUCGGGCCUCUUGCCAUCGGAUGUGCCCAGAUGGGAUUAGCUAGUAGGUGGGGUAACGGCUCACCUAGGCGACGAUCCCUAGCUGGUCUGAGAGGAUGACCAGCCACACUGGAACUGAGACACGGUCCAGACUCCUACGGGAGGCAGCAGUGGGGAAUAUUGCACAAUGGGCGCAAGCCUGAUGCAGCCAUGCCGCGUGUAUGAAGAAGGCCUUCGGGUUGUAAAGUACUUUCAGCGGGGAGGAAGGCGAUAAGGUUAAUAACCUUGUCGAUUGACGUUACCCGCAGAAGAAGCACCGGCUAACUCCGUGCCAGCAGCCGCGGUAAUACGGAGGGUGCAAGCGUUAAUCGGAAUUACUGGGCGUAAAGCGCACGCAAGGCGGUCUGUCAAGUCGGAUGUGAAAUCCCCGGGCUCAACCUUGUGGAAC
rnacentral:rRNA from 1 species